rnacentral:rRNA from 1 species
UACGGGGGGGGCAAGCGUUGUUCGGAAUUACUGGGCGUAAAGGGCUCGUAGGCGGCCAACUAAGUCAGACGUGAAAUCCCUCGGCUUAACCGGGGAACUGCGUCUGAUACUGGAUGGCUUGAGUUCGGGAGAGGGAUGCGGAAUUCCAGGUGUAGCGGUGAAAUGCGUAGAUAUCUGGAGGAACACCGGUGGCGAAGGCGGCAUCCUGGACCGAUACUGACGCUGAUGAGCGAAAGCGUGGGGAGCAAACAGG